rnacentral:rRNA from 1 species
GACGAACCGUGCGAACGUUAUUCGGAAUCACUGGGCUUAAAGCGCGUGUAGGCGGGAGGGCACGUCCGUUGCUGAAAUCCCCCGGCUCAACCGGGGAACGGGCGCGGAUACGACUCUCCUUGAGGGGCGUAGGGGGACCCGGAACUUCCGGUGGAGCGGUGAAAUGCGUUGAGAUCGGAAGGAACGCCCGUGGCGAAAGCGAGGUCCUGGACGCCUACUGACGCUGAGACGCGAAAGCGUGGGGAGCGAACAGG